UCUCCGUUGGUGAACCAGCGGAGGGAUCAUUACAGGACUCGCAAGACUCCUACAACCCUGUGAACUUAACUAUAAGCACGUUGCUUCGGCGGGUGUCUCGGGGGGGGUUCUCCCUCCCCGAGACGCUAAACCCGCCGGCAGCCUACUAUACUCUGUCUCUUUGCGUUGGCAUCUCGAGUACAAUCAAACAGUUAAAACUUUCAACAACGGAUCUCUUGGUUCUG
rnacentral:misc_RNA from 1 species